GGUAGCUCGUCAGGCUCAUAACCUGAAGGCCGCAGGUUCAAAUCCUGCCCCCGCAACCA
rnacentral:tRNA from 1 species